rnacentral:rRNA from 1 species
AUUGAACGCUGGCGGCGUGCUUAACACAUGCAAGUCGAUCGGUAACAGGUGUAGCAAUACAUGCUGACGAGAGGCGGACGGGUGAGUAAUGCUUGGGAAUCUGCCUAUUAGUGGGGGACAACCCGGGGAAACUCGGGCUAAUACCGCAUACGCUCUACGGAGGAAAGCCGGGGACCGCAAGGCCUGGCGCUAAUAGAUGAGCCCAAGUCGGAUUAGCUAGUUGGUAGGGAACGGCCUACCAAGGCGACAAUCCGUAGCUGGUCUGAGAGGACGACCAGCCACACCGGGACUGAGACACGGUCCGGACUCCUACGGGAGGCAGCAGUGGGGAAUAUUGGACAAUGGGGGCAACCCUGAUCCAGCGACGCCGCGUGGGUGAAGAAGGCCUGCGGGUUGUAAAGCCCUUUCGGUGGGGAAGAAAAGUCUCGACCUAAUACGUCGGGACCUUGACGUAACCCACUAAAGAAGCACCGGCUAACUCUGUG